rnacentral:tRNA from 1 species
GGGGAUUUAGCUCUGUGGUAGAGCAUUUGCCUAGCAAGCGCAAGGCCCUGGGUUCGGUCCCCAGCUCCG